rnacentral:misc_RNA from 1 species
AAGAAGUUUUUGAUCUAUCCACGGGCAUCUUAAUCACAGGGUCCACAGUAAUGGAAGAUGAAGAUCUUGAUGGACCAGGCAGUUCUUGCUUGAGAGGGGCAUUAGCAGAGAUGAUGAUGUUGUAGGUAAUUAGAGCUACCGAGAAGGUUACCAGAACCAAGAAGAACAAAUUCCCACAACCCAUUUUAGGCGGUUCUUCGUCUCCAACUUGCUGGAAUUCUACUCAAAUGAAUUUGCCCAUUAAAACUCCCCCUGGAAGCAGAGACAAGUUUGAGAAAAGUCGUCGCGCCCAGAAGGAAGUUUAUUGAAGAAA